rnacentral:rRNA from 1 species
UACGUAGGGUGCAAGCGUUGUCCGGAAUUAUUGGGCGUAAAGAGCUCGUAGGUGGCGGGUCACGUCGGGUGUGAAAGCCCGGGGCUUAACCCCGGGUCUGCAUUCGAUACGGGUCUGCUGGGGUCCGGCAGGGGAGACUGGAAUUCCUGGUGUAGCGGUGAAAUGCGCAGAUAUCAGGAGGAACACCGAUGGCGAAGGCAGGUCUCUGGGCCAUUACUGACACUGAGAAGCGAAAGCAUGGGGAGCGAACAGG